rnacentral:rRNA from 1 species
UACGUAGGGGGCGAGCGUUGUCCGGAUUUAUUGGGCGUAAAGAGCGUGUAGGCGGCCAGGUAGGUCUGCUGUGAAAACUCGAGGCUCAACCUCGAGACGUCGGCGGAAACCAUCUGGCUAGAGUCCGGAAGAGGAGAGUGGAAUUCCUGGUGUAGCGGUGAAAUGCGCAGAUAUCGGGAAGAACACCCGUGGCGAAGGCGACUCUCUGGAACGCAACUGACGCUGAGACGCGAAAGCGUGGGGAGCAAACAGG